GAUGAACGCUGGCGGCGUGCCUAAUACAUGCAAGUCGAGCGAGCAGACGAGGAGCUUGCUCCUCUGACGUUAGCGGCGGACGGGUGAGUAACACGUGGAUAACCUACCUAUAAGACUGGGAUAACUUCGGGAAACCGGAGCUAAUACCGGAUAAUAUAUUGAACCGCAUGGUUCAAUAGUGAAAGACGGUUUUGCUGUCACUUAUAGUUGGAUCCGCGCCGCAUUAGCUAGUUGGUAAGGUAACGGCUUACCAAGGCAACGAUGCGUAGCCGACCUGAGAGGGUGAUCGGCCACACUGGAACUGAGACACGGUCCAGACUCCUACGGGAGGCAGCAGUAGGGAAUCUUCCGCAAAGGGCGAAAGCCUGACGGAGCAACGCCGCGUGAGUGAUGAAGGUCUUCGGAUCGUAAAACUCUGUUAUUAGGGAAGAACAAAUGUGUAAGUAACUAUGCACGUCUUGACGGUACCUAAUCAGAAAGCCACGGCUAACUACGUG
rnacentral:rRNA from 1 species